rnacentral:misc_RNA from 1 species
GAUGAAGAACGUAGCGAAAUGCGAAAAGUAAUGUGAAUUGCAGAAUUCAGUGAACCAUCGAAUCUUUGAACGCACAUUGCGCCCGCUGGAACUCCGGCGGGCACGCCUGUCCGAGCGUCAUUUCAACCCUCAGGCCCCCCUUCGCGGGCGGGCCUGGUGUUGGGGCCCGGCCGCUACCCUGCGGCCGUCCCCUAAAUCCAGUGGGGGCCUCGCCGUGAUCCCUUGCGUAGUAAUGCACCUCGCACCGGAGAGCGCCGUGGCCACGCCGUAAAACCCCCAAUUUUCAAUGGUUGACCUCGGAUCAGGUGGGAAUACCCGCUGAACUUAAGCAUAUCAAUAAGCGGAGGA